rnacentral:rRNA from 1 species
AUUGAACGCUGGCGGCAGGCUUAACACAUGCAAGUCGAGCGGGGUGAUGGUGCUUGCACUAUCACUUAGCGGCGGACGGGUGAGUAAUGCUUAGGAAUCUGCCUAUUAGUGGGGGACAACAUCUCGAAAGGGAUGCUAAUACCGCAUACGUCCUACGGGGGAAAGCAGGGGAUCACUUGUGACCUUGCGCUAAUAGAUGAGCCUAAGUCGGAUUGGCUAGUUGGUGGGGUAAAGGCCUACCAAGGCGACGAUCUGUAGCGGGUCUGAGAGGAUGAUCCGCCACACUGGGACGGAGACACGGCCCAGACUCCUACGGGAGGCAGCAGUGGGGAAUAUUGGACAAUGGGGGGAACCCUGAUCCAGCCAUGCCGCGUGUGUGAAGAAGGCCUUAUGGUUGUAAAGCACUUUAAGCGAGGAGGAGGCUCUUUUGGUUAAUACCCAGAAUGAGUGGACGUUACUCGCAGAAUAAGCACCGGCUAACUCUGUGCCAGCCGCCGCGGUAA